AAACGUUAAUCGGGGCUGGGUGAGUCGACCCCUAAGGCGAGGCCGAGAGGCGUAGUCGAUGGGAAAUUGGUUAAUAUUCCAAUACUUCAGUGUAAUGCGAUGAGAGGACGGAGAAGGUUAAGUCAGCCUGGCGUUGGUUGUCCAGGUGAAAGGAAGUAGGCAUGCAUCUUAGGCAAAUCCGGGGUGCUCUAUGCUGAGAUCUGAUAGCAAGCUGUACUUGUACAGUGAAGUGGCUGAUACCCUGCUUCCAGGAAAAGUCUCUAAGCUUCAGUUACACUGGAAUCGUACCCGAAACCGACACAGGUGGUCAGGUCGAGUAGACCAAAGCGCUUGAGAGAACUCUGCUGAAGGAACUAGGCAAAAUGGUACCGUAACUUCGGGAGAAGGUACGCUGUUGAUGGUGAUAGGACUCGCUCCUUGAGCUGUCGACAGCCUCAGAAACCAGGCCGCUGCAACUGUUUAUUAAAAACAUAGCACUCUGCAAACACGAAAGUGGACGUAUAGGGUGUGAUGCCUGCCCGGUGCUGGAAGGUUAAUUGAUGGGGUUAGCGUAAGCGAAGCUCUUGAUCGAAGCCCCAGUAAACGGCGGCCGUAACAAUAACGGUCCUAAGGUAGCGAAAUUCCUUGUCGGGUAAGUUCCGACCUGCACGAAUGGCAUAAUGAUGGCGGCGCUGUCUCCAGCAGAGGCUCAGUGAAAUCGAAUUCGCCGUGAAGAUGCGGUGUACCCGCGGCUAGACGGAAAGACCCCGUGAACCUUUACUGCAGCUUGACAUUGAACUUUGACCUUACUUGUGUAGGAUAGGUGGGAGGCUUUGAAACUUGGACGCUAGUCCGAGUGGAGCCGUCCUUGAAAUACCACCCUGGUAAUGUUGAGGUUCUAACUCUGUCCCGUUAUCCGGGACGAGGACCAUGUCUGGUGGGUAGUUUGACUGGGGCGGUCUCCUCCUAAAGAGUAACGGAGGAGUACGAAGGUGCGCUCAGCGUGGUCGGAAAUCACGCGUAGAGUAUAAAGGCAAAAGCGCGCUUAACUGCGAGACCCACAAGUCGAGCAGGUACGAAAGUAGGUCUUAGUGAUCCGGUGGUUCUGUAUGGAAGGGCCAUCGCUCAACGGAUAAAAGGUACUCUGAGGAUAACAGGCUGAUACCGCCCAAGAGUUCAUAUCGACGGCGGUGUUUGGCACCUCGAUGUCGGCUCAUCUCAUCCUGGGGCUGAAGCAGGUCCCAAGGGUAUGGCUGUUCGCCAUUUAAAGAGGUACGCGAGCUGGGUUUAGAACGUCGUGAGACAGUUCGGUCCCUAUCUACCGUGGGCGCUGGAAAUUUGAGAGGAUCUGCUCCUAGUACGAGAGGACCAGAGUGGACGAACCUCUGGUGUACCGGUUGUGACGCCAGUCGCAUCGCCGGGUAGCUAUGUUCGGAAGGGAUAACCGCUGAAAGCAUCUAAGCGGGAAGCCUACCUCAAGAUAAGAUUUCCCCGAGGCUUUAUGCCUCCUAAAGAGCCGUUGAAGACUAC
rnacentral:rRNA from 1 species